rnacentral:rRNA from 1 species
GAUGAACGCUGGCGGCGUGCUUAACACAUGCAAGUCGAGCGAGAAAAGUUCUUCGGAGCUUUUCUAGCGGCGGACGGGUGAGUAACACGUGGGCAACCUGCCUCAUAGAGGGGAAUAGCCUUCCGAAAGGAAGAUUAAUACCGCAUAACAUUGUUGAAAGGCAUCUUUUAACAAUCAAAGGAAUAAUCCGCUAUGAGAUGGGCCCGCGGCGCAUUAGCUAGUUGGUGAGGUAACGGCUCACCAAGGCGACGAUGCGUAGCCGACCUGAGAGGGUGAUCGGCCACAUUGGAACUGAGACACGGUCCAGACUCCUACGGGAGGCAGCAGUGGGGAAUAUUGCACAAUGGGGGAAACCUUGAUGCAGCAACGCCGCGUGAGUGAUGAAGGUCUUCGGAUUGCAAAGCUCUGUCUUUAGGGACGAUAAUGACGGUACCUAAGGAGGAAGCCACGGCUAACUACGUGCCAGCAGCCGCUGUAAUAC